CCUACGGGUGGCAGCAGUGGGGAAUAUUGCACAAUGGGGGAAACCCUGAUGCAGCGACGCCGCGUGAGUGAAGAAGUAUUUCGGUACGUAAAGCUCUAUCAGCAGGGAAGAAAAACCGGCCUUAGGGCCGCCAGACGGUACCUGACUAAGAAGCCCCGGCUAACUACGUGCCAGCAGCCGCGGUAAUACGUAGGGGGCAAGCGUUAUCCGGAUUUACUGGGUGUAAAGGGUGUGUAGGCGGGUUUGCAAGUCAGAUGUGAAAUCCACGGGCUCAACCCGUGAACUGCAUUUGAAACUGUUUCCCUGGAGUGUCGGAGAGGUAAUCGGAAUUCCUUGUGUAGCGGUGAAAUGCGUAGAUAUAAGGAAGAACACCAGUGGCGAAGGCGGAUUACUGGACGAUAACUGACGGUGAGGCGCGAAAGCGUGGGGAGCAAACAGGAUUAGAUACCCCAGUAGUC
rnacentral:rRNA from 1 species